UAUCGCGUCUCUCUCAACAUCGUUUCUCUCAAACUUCACCCAUGUUCAUUCAAUUCAAUCGUUCAGAUUUUAAUCCCAAAUCGAUUGAAUCAUUGAAUUGUUUCAAAAUCAAAUUUCAAUCACAAAUCGCUCAAAUCACUACUAGCACAGAUCUUCGAAUCGGUCCAAUCUCUCAAAAAUUAGUUUCAGUCUCGAUUCGGCGUCGCGGUUUCCGUUCUCGAUUCUCCAUAACUGUUCCCGAUCUCGAUUCUUCGUUGUUGUUCUUGUUCUCGAUUCUCCUUCGGUGUUCCCGUUCUCUAUCCACCAUCGUUCUCGUUCUCAGUCCUAAAGCAGCACCUUCGGUGAUAGCGAUUUAGGUUUAAGUAUUUAUGUUUCUGAUAUGGAUCUUUCUAUGGUUGCUUCAAAUGGGUCCAGGUUGCCGAUAUAGAAUAGAUUCAGAUUAGGUCAGGAAACGAAAUUAGCCUAACGUUGUUCAUGGCAUUGAAUCACUUGUAUGCACAUCUUCCACUUGUAUGCAACAACUGUAAGCUUCAUCAUCAACACCAUACUGUGUUCUCUCCAUGUGUUUCAGUUUCAAGAUAGCUUUGUGUUUCAGCUCCGUUUUGUUUGUGAAUAGCAUAGAACAACCACCUGAACGAAAAAGACAGUUAGAUAACAUCAUUUUUUUGUCCUUUCCACAGUACCAAUGAGAACCAAGAUCUUCUGUGCUAACAACAAUUCCUAAGGAGUUUUCAUGUGUUUUGAAAAGCUGUUGCACAAGAUCAAUAGCCACAAUACUUGCACUACACCCCAUUCCUGCAAGAUUGAACACUUUUACAUCUUCUCUCAUUUUGUAUCGGUUUAUUAUUCUUGCUGUGAGUGAAGGUAUUGGUGAAAACAACGAAACAUUAACUACAAGAAUAUCGAUUUCCGAAGGAGAGAAACAUGUUUUUUUGAAAAGGUUGUCGAGUGUAUCAAACAUGAUUUCAUCUAUCUCUUCAUUUGUGUCUUUGAGAAACAACUUGAAAAGUUUUAAAAAGGAAUAGAGUAAAGAAAAAUGACACAAAAUCUUUAAGAUAUAUUCCAUGACUUGGAAAUUAUAUCUUAGGGGGAAAUAUUUGUGUUUUGUUUCAAGUUCAAGUGUUUCUCUAUAUAUAUAUAGACACAUGGUUACGCUGUCUUUUUAAGUUUGCAAGUGGCAAAUGGCAAAUGGAUAGCUUUUACAAGUUGCAUGGUAUUCCCUACAAACAACCGGAACUACUGGACCAUACUAUAUUGACUACUGAUAUUUUAUUCUCUUGUUCUAAAAUGUAAUUUAUAAAAAAAUGUUUUGUACUUUUUUUUGUAACAUAUAUGGAUAAAGCUUAUGUAGGGUUCUAGUCACUAAGUUUUCAACAUUUAACAAAAUGUAUAGAGAUACAUAUAAUGUGUCUUUUGAGAACACAGUAUGGUGCUGAUGAUGAAGCUUACAGUUGUUGCAUACAAGUGGAAGCUUACAGUUUUUUCUAUUCAUUUAUGCUUCAUUCUUUAAUUUCCCUUG